UGGGGAAUAUUGCACAAUGGGCGCAAGCCUGAUGCAGCGACGCCGCGUGGGGGAUGACGGCCUUCGGGUUGUAAACUCCUUUCGCUAGGGACGAAGCUUUUUGUGACGGUACCUAGAUAAGAAGCACCGGCUAACUACGUGCCAGCAGCCGCGGUAAUACGUAGGGUGCGAGCGUUGUCCGGAAUUACUGGGCGUAAAGGGCUCGUAGGUGGUUUGUCGCGUCGUCUGUGAAAUUCCGGGGCUUAACUCCGGGCGUGCAGGCGAUACUGGCAUAACUUGAGUACUGUAGGGGUAACUGGAAUUCCUGGUGUAGCGGUGAAAUGCGCAGAUAUCAGGAGGAACACCGAUGGCGAAGGCAGGUUACUGGGCAGUUACUGACGCUGAGGAGCGAAAGCAUGGGUAGCGAACAGG
rnacentral:rRNA from 1 species